rnacentral:lncRNA from 1 species
CAUUUUCAAAUUUGAUCCAAUUUGUUAUUCAUAGGAACUCGUGAGUUAUGACAAAAAGAUAUUAUGACUCCCAUGCAGCGGAUGAAGACAUUGAUGCCCAUGAAAGGUAAUUCAGUUCCAACCCCUUCAGUGACAGCAGAGAGACCCAGGCCACCUUCCUUGAGGAUUUCGGAGCUGCAGCCCACAGCCAGGGCCAGAGUGGACUCAGCUCUCCAACCCACGGUGAUAUUACAAUUCUUGUUGUGUUCCUAGCUGUGGGCUUGUUCACCUCGGGAUGGCAAGGGCGUGGCACAAACACCCCCACAUUUCCAUUCUGUGUUACGAAGUCCGCGUAACUUUUCAAUGUGUG